rnacentral:lncRNA from 1 species
CCACACAUGCUGUUGCGAUUAAAUGUCAGUGUUCCAGCAGCAGAUUGUAUCUGCUUUCCACCCUUUGGACCCCAUCCAACAAAUGGUACUGCUUCACUUAUGUCAUAUCCACUUGUCUAGGUAACUGUCAUAUGUUAUAGACAAUUUAUACAGCUAUUUCAAUUACAAAAUUUCAGUAUGAGUGGUAAAAAAGUAAUAUCAUUCAACAAUGUUUAAGAAAUAUGUAAAAAAAUUUAACAUAGGAUAAAUAAAAAAUAAAAAAAAAAAAAAAAAAAAAAAGAAAAAAAUAAAAAAACAAAACAAAUAAAAAAAAAAAAAAAAAAAAAAAAUAAAAACCAAACCAGCUAAUGAUAGCAAAUUUCUCAUAAUUUUAACAUUAUUAUCAAAAUUAGCCAAAAUAAUCAUGACUUUACCAACAUUCAUCCAACUUCAUAGAAAAACCAAACCUUUGAGAAUGACCUCACAACAUCAUAAAUUAUACUAAACAUGAAUACCAGAGAAUCAGGAUAUUAGAAUUUCAGGUCAUUUUACGCCAAUGAUUCACCCAAACACUAUCUUUCACCCAAAUUUUAUAUCAAACACUAUAAUUAUAACCUCAUUCUGAGACAAACACUAUCUUUCACCCAAAUUUUGUAUCAACAAACUAUAUCAAUUUUUAACACCUUAGACACAACAUUCAGAAUCCUUAUCAUGCAGAAUCUAACUCCAACAAUUGGCUUUAAAACAAAAAUUGAAGAAAAAAUAAUUCAUUACAUCAGUUCACUCAUAUUCUGUUUUUGCUCAAGAGAUUCAAACAUUCUUCACAAAUGGAAUGAAAGCCAGAAAACCAUGUAAACUUAGGUAUAAGCUCUUUUACUCAAUCAUUUGAAUCAGGAACCAUAAACAAAAAGCAACAGUUGUAACAGCACUAAAUCAGCAACCAUAUUCAUCCAGAACAGUUAGUAAUAAUCUCACUGGUUUCAAAAAGAAACAACAAAAUCAUGUUCCAAUGACAAAGAAAAAUAACACAAACAGCAACCAAAGUUUUAAAAUUACUUGGUGUUCAAGCAACUGCUAUCCAUAACCAUCUUAAGAGAACAACAAUAAUAUUGAUUUGUUAUUACAUAUAAUUUGUUAUCUCACCUCUGCGCUCAACAUCCAACACCCUUAGUUUAUUUUUAUAAGCAGGUGUCUUCUUCACCAUGGCCAAAACCUUAAUUAACAAAAAAAGUCAUUCUUAUAAAUCUGGAUGUUUUAAUCUUCUGAAAACAUUUCACAAAUAACAAAUAAAGCAAGUUUCGAUUAAGCCGCAUCCAAUAUGUCAUGAGCCCAAUUUUUACAACUGUGGCUGUCACCAUAAUUCCUAGCAAUCAAGGACCAUGACAAAAUUGCAAUAGUGAAAUAUUAUACCAAGAAUCAGGCUAGAUAACUUCCCUAUAGAAUCAGGCAGCCAAUCAGCUUGCCCUGGAGCUUGAGAUCACGAGUUCCUUUCUUUGCAGAAACCUCAAUUAUCUUAGCAAGUUUAAUCAAACUCAACUUAUCACCAUCUUCACCUACAAAACAACAUCUCAUCAGCACAACAUUCCAUCAAAGUCUAAUUCAAUUGCAAUUUAGGCAGCAUCGACC